rnacentral:misc_RNA from 1 species
UCCGACUUAACGUCGGCAGUCUCUUUAGAGUGCCCAACUUAAUGCUGGCAACUAAAGACAAGGGUUGCGCUCGUUGCGGGACUUAACCCAACAUCUCACGACACGAGCUGACGACAGCCAUGCAGCACCUGUCACCGGUGUCCCGAAGGAAAGCUGUAUCUCUACAGCGGUCACCGGGAAGUCAAGCCCAGGUAAGGUUCUUCGCGUUGCAUCGAAUUGAACCACAUGCUCCACUGCUUGUGCGGGCCCCCGUCAAUUUCUUUGAGUUUUAAUCUUGCGACCGUACUCCCCAGGCGGGAUACUUAACGCGUUAGCUUCGGCACUGAUGGGGUCAAAACCACCAACACCAAGUAUCCAUCGUUUAUGGCGUGGACUAC